GCCCCCUUCCUCCCUCGUCCUCCUCCACCGCCGCCGCCGCCCCCUUCCCGAUCUAGAUUCCUCCUCCGCCGCCCCUCACUACCACCACCCAGUCACCCACCGCAGCAGAUCAAGCGAGCCGCCCAACCUCACCGGCCUCCUCCGUCUCUUCCGGUCAGAUCCGACGAGCACAUCUUCCUGUAGCCACGAGCGACCACCCCGGCCUCCACUUCACCGCCGGCAUCCUUUCCCCUCCCUCUCCGUAGAUCCUUUUGAGCAGCCACCUCGAGGGCGGCGCCGCCACCAGCGGGAGGGGGAGGGCGCCGCCACCAGCCACGGCGGAGAGGUGGAGCCCUGGCUCCCUCCUCGACGACUCCUCCAAUAUCCGGCUCCUUCGACGACAUCCCGCGCGGGAUCUCCACUGACUCCACCUCUGUCAACUGCCUCCUCGGCCUCGAGGAUGACAAUGCCUCGCAGCACUCGCGUAGUGGGAUGCCCAACUCCGGCUCGGCCGAGGACCAGCGGGCCAGCCAGAAGAAGCUCGCGGCCGCCGCCACGAGUUACCAGCAAGGCGCGCAGUCCGUGCCCGACUCUUCGAUGCUGGACAAGAACUCCUCCUUCGGCUCCACGUCCUUGGUGCCGUCCCUGUCGAAUCUGCCACCGAUUUAGGUGCUUAUACUAAUCCAAUCAUCUGGUUUUUCUCUUGGUGAUAAGAAGAUGAUUCGCAAGAUGACAUGGGGCGGACCCUGGCCAUAAUCAUAGGCAUCUUGGCAGGGCUGGCCCUCAUCGUGGUGUUCCUCUCCUUCCUCGGGAAAUCAACUAUGAAUGCAGGUUAAGGUUGCCUCUUGGAAGAAGCUUCAGUUAUCGAUCGCAUACUGGCACCAGGCCAAACGACCUGUGGAAGGGAGAAAGAUCCACGCUGGCAUGGUAUCAGCAUGGCACAGUGAAGCUUCACAAAGGUCCUAAUCUCACCUUGUUAGAAGCAGUAGCUUAUGCCAAUGGCAAUGUGGAGAAGGAAGAUCUGUCCUUGGUUUUGCUCUAUUGGUGAAGCGUCCUCACUGCUAUUCUGCAGUAGAAUCUGAGAUGCAGCUCCAACGCCUCAAAAUCCAGCAGAAAAAGGUUUGGUUUUGCUCCUCCUACUCCUACUCUAGCUAGUUGUACAUUUCUGCUACCUGCACUUUGCAUUCCUGCCACCCAUGGAUGCCUAACGGAAUCACAACCUCAACCAAAAAGAAAAAAUAUUACCAAUCUAGUUUGCUGCAAAUACAGUUGGGGAUUCAGUUGUUGACUUGUGUAAUCGUGGCAUACACUGGCACGACUUUGUUUGCAUCAUCAUGUACAGGACCCUGCCGUGUUUGCGAUGCAUCCACCAACACUGGGCCGAUUCUGGUACAGUUGAACUGUCUCCCCUCUCUACUCAUCCAUGGAACCAUGUUCAUGUGUUUCAUUCUGACCGUGAUAUAAGACACAAUGUAGGCAGCAUGUAAGCUAGAUUGUUGUUUCUUCUUAUUCCUAAAAUUUGAGAAUUGAACAACUUCUCAGGCUUCUACCUUGGAAGCAGCCUAUGUGUGUGUAUUAGGCUUUCUAGGUGUGGUCCUGUGUGCUACUUUGGAAUUUUCUUUUUGGUCAAUACUAUUUUGCCAUCGAAUCAGCCAAUACUGUUUCACUUUACUUGUUUCUUCUUAUUCCUAAAAUUUGAGAAUUGAACAACUUCUCAGGCUUCUACCUUGGAAGCAACUUACGUGUGUGUAUCAGGCUUUCUAGGUGUGGUCAUGUGUGCUACUUUGGAAUUUUCUUUUUUGUCAAUACUGUUUUGCCAUCGAAUCAGUCAAUAUUGUUUCACUUUGCUUGUUUCUCGUACUAGGUCUGUCAGCUACAACAUAAACAAACAAAUUGCUUAGCUCUCAACUCUGAAUACAUAGCUAGCUGAACCUGUUCUUUCUUUCUUUCUUUCUUCACAGCUAUGACUUAUAUGGGUCAAGCUGUUGCUUUGCUGCGCUCGAUGAUAUUGUUGCUGCCUGUAUACUGUUAUAUGUGGUGAUAUCUAACAGAACUGAUGUUGUGAAUGUACCAUAUUGUCUUGCUGCUACUUAUCUUGGGCUCACCUUCCCUUUAAUUAAGUGUGCGCGACCCUGCUAGCUAUAUGAAAAACGUGUCAGGAAUGAUAACAAUUUGAUAAUCUAGAAUGAAAUUUGCAAUUCAAUAUUCCCUUGAGAUUGAGACACCUCAGUUUCAUAGUAUGCUUGCUCCUCUAGUGUUCAUAGCUUAGUGUUUUGUUUCGGGGUUUCUUAAUGUUCUUGUGCUUUAAAGAACAAUACUUAAUUUUUUUAAUCAUGCAGGUGUUACUUUUGAUGAAAAAUGUGUGGAUCAUCCACCUCAGCGACGCUAUCCCAAUCAGAUCAUCGUCGACACUAUCAUCAUCAGGUCUUGGUUCUCUUUAUUCUCUCCUGCCUUGUGAUGUUAGUCUGUGUGGGCCUACUACUAUUGUUAGAUGCCAUCUUGAAUGGAUGGUCUAUUGUACUUUUCUUUGGGUGAAUUUGUUACAGUGACAUUCAUUGCAUGACCUGCACCUGUACCAAUAUACGAUGCUGGCACCUAUAGGUUAGUAUUGUUAGUGCCUAACAUGAGCUUGAGUGUUGGAGUGGAAGUGUAGAACAACAACAGGUUAACGUGUUUUAUUUACCCUUUCUAGUAUUUGUACAAACUAAUGCAUUCCGGGCAUAAACAAAAUAUUAUACAAGAUAUGUAAAAGCAAACAUUUGACUAUGCAACUAUAAGAUCUGUUUUAUUUGCCCUCUCUAGUAUUUUAUAACGGGAAAGCUGAAGCUGGAACAUACUAGUUGGUAGAUCUGCUUGCUGCUUACAUUAGUGUUGCCAUUGCAUUUGUUUGGUUCUGCCUUGAACAACAGUUCACAAAUGCUAGUAGCCUUUGUGUUCACUCUUUUACAGGAGCGUCUGGACAAAUUUGAAGUGCGAAGCCAUGAAGCCAAGUGCAAAGCCUUGAUGAUGCCUUACUUGCCAGAGAAUUGUUUGUUCUGUUUGAUUGUAAUAGACUGUAGAGAUUGUGACAUUGUAACAGAUUUACUAUUAUUUGAUAAAUUAUGUUUAUUCUGUUAUAUUUGAAAUAGUGAUUUAAAAAUGUGUGACAUAGAAA